AUUGGUCAAUGGACGGAAGUCUGAACCAGCCAUUCCGCGUGCAGGAAGAAGGUCCUAUGGACUGUAAACUGCUUUUAGCAGAGAAGAAACGCCUUCAUUUAUGAGGGUCUGACGGUAUCUGCGGAAUAAGCACCGGCUAACUCCGUGCCAGCAGCCGCGGUAAUACGGGGGGUGCAAGCGUUAUCCGGAAUCACUGGGUUUAAAGGGUGCGUAGGCGGGAUAUUAAGUCAGUGGUGAAAGUCUGUUGCUUAACGAUAGAAUUGCCGUUGAUACUGAUGUUCUUGAAUUGGGUUGAGGUUAGCGGAAUGUGACAUGUAGCGGUGAAAUGCAUAGAUAUGUCAUGGAACACCAAUUGCGAAGGCAGCUAGCUGGGCCUUGAUUGACGCUGAGGCACGAAAGCGUGGGGAGCAAACAGGAUUAGAUACCCUGGUAGUCCACGCCCUAAACGAUGCUAACUCGAUGUUUGGUUUUAGGAUUGAGCAUCUAAGGGAAACCGAUAAGUUAGCCACCUGGGGAGUACGACCGCAAGGUUGAAACUCAAAGGAAUUGACGG
rnacentral:rRNA from 1 species